rnacentral:piRNA from 1 species
UACAUUGGUUGUUCUGCAGAAAUGUGCUC